CUUCACCGAGCCCAGCCACAGCGGCCGGUCCUCGGCGCCCCGCUCCCGCCCAUAGGUCGCGAGCAGCGCCUCGGCCUC
rnacentral:antisense_RNA from 1 species